rnacentral:rRNA from 1 species
AUUGAACGCUGGCGGCAGGCCUAACACAUGCAAGUCGAGCGGAUGAAGGGAGCUUGCUCCUGGAUUCAGCGGCGGACGGGUGAGUAAUGCCUAGGAAUCUGCCUGGUAGUGGGGGAUAACGUCCGGAAACGGGCGCUAAUACCGCAUACGUCCUGAGGGAGAAAGUGGGGGAUCUUCGGACCUCACGCUAUCAGAUGAGCCUAUGUCGGAUUAGCUAGUUGGUGGGGUAAAGGCCUACCAAGGCGACGAUCCGUAGCUGGUCUGAGAGGAUGAUCAGUCACACUGGAACUGAGACACGGUCCAGACUCCUACGGGAGGCAGCAGUGGGGAAUAUUGGACAAAGGGCGAAAGCCUGAUCCAGCCAUGCCGCGUGUGUGAAGAAGGUCUUCGGAUUGUAAAGCACUUUAAGUUGGGAGGAAGGGCAGUAAGUUAAUACCUUGCUGUUUUGACGUUACCAACAGAAUAAGCACCGGCUAACUUCGUG